rnacentral:lncRNA from 1 species
UUCAGCCAUCAAUUAUAGCACCUGUUGAGUGCAUAACAACGAGCCAAUAAAAAUUUUUAAGAAUAACUGCCCAUUUAUAUCUGAGUCAUAUCCUAAAUAAUGAAUGGCAAACACCAUCUAUCGGAUUGAAGUGAAGAUUACUUUUUAUUGAGAAAACCCAUCCACAAUUGCCAAUAGUUCCUCCCUGCAUCUUUUUUUCUCCUAUUAUCGAAUUCCUUAAUGUUUAAACCACAAUUUUUCUUGCCUUCAGUAAAAUCUGAUGAGAGCAACCACGGAUGGUGCCAUGCUAAUCUAAAGCUGCUGCUAAG